UACAGAGGUCUCAAGCGUUGUUCGGAUUCAUUGGGCGUAAAGGGUGCGUAGGUGGCGAUGUAAGUCUAACGUGAAAUCUCGGGGCUCAACCCCGAAAUUGCGUCGGAUACUGCGUUGCUAGAGGAUUGUAGAGGAGAGUGGAAUUCACGGUGUAGCAGUGAAAUGCGUAGAUAUCGUGAGGAAGACCAGUUGCGAAGGCGACUCUCUGGGCAACUCCUGACACUGAGGCACGAAGGCUAGGGGAGCAAACGGG
rnacentral:rRNA from 1 species